rnacentral:rRNA from 1 species
AUUGAACGCUGGCGGCAUGCUUUACACAUGCAAGUCGAACGGUAACAGGCCGCAAGGUGCUGACGAGUGGCGAACGGGUGAGUAAUGCAUCGGAACGUGCCCAGUCGUGGGGGAUAACGCAGCGAAAGCUGCGCUAAUACCGCAUACGAUCUCUGGAUGAAAGCGGGGGACCGAAAGGCCUCGCGCGAUUGGAGCGGCCGAUGUCAGAUUAGGUAGUUGGUGGGGUAAAGGCCCACCAAGCCAACGAUCUGUAGCUGGUCUGAGAGGACGACCAGCCACACUGGGACUGAGACACGGCCCAGACUCCUACGGGAGGCAGCAGUGGGGAAUUUUGGACAAUGGGCGCAAGCCUGAUCCAGCAAUGCCGCGUGCAGGAAGAAGGCCUUCGGGUUGUAAACUGCUUUUGUACGGAACGAAACGGUCUGGGUUAAUACCCUGGGCUAAUGACGGUACCGUAAGAAUAAGCACCGGCUAACUACGUGCCAGCAGCCGCCGCCGUAA